rnacentral:rRNA from 1 species
AUGCACGCUUGCGGCGUGCCUCAUACCUGCAAGUCGCGCCCACGGACGAGAAGCUUGCUUCUCUGAUGUUAGCGGCGGACGGGUGAGUAACACGUGGAUAACCUACCUAUAAGACUGGGAUAACUUCGGGAAACCGGAGCUAAUACCGGAUGAUAUUUUGAACCGCAUGGUUCAAAAGUGAAAGACGGUCUUGCUGUCACUUAUAGAUGGAUCCGCGCUGCAUUAGCUAGUUGGUAAGGUAACGGCUUACCAAGGCAACGAUGCAUAGCCGACCUGAGAGGGUGAUCGGCCACACUGGAACUGAGACACGGUCCAGACUCCUACGGGAGGCAGCAGUAGGGAAUCUUCCGCAAUGGGCGAAAGCCUGACGGAGCAACGCCGCGUGAGUGAUGAAGGUCUUCGGAUCGUAAAACUCUGUUAUUAGGGAAGAACAUAUGUGUAAGUAACUGUGCACAUCUUGACGGUACCUAAUCAGAAAGCCACGGCUAACUACGUG